rnacentral:rRNA from 1 species
AUUGGACAUGGGGGCACCUGAUCCANCAUGCCGCGUGAGUGAAGAAGGCCUUCGGGUUGUAAAGCUCUUUUGUCAGGGAAGAAACAGCAGCUCUAAUACAGUUUGCGAAUGACGGUACCUGAAGAAUAAGCACCGGCUAACUACGUGCCAGCAGCCGCGGUAAUACGUAGGGUGCGAGCGUUAAUCGGAAUUACUGGGCGUAAGGCGUGCGCAGGCGGUUAUGUGAGACAGGCGUGAAAUCCCCGAGCUUAACUUGGGAAUUGCGCUUGUGACUGCAUAGCUAGAGUGUGUCAGAGGGGGGUAGAAUUCCACGUGUAGCAGUGAAAUGCGUAGAGAUGUGGAGGAAUACCAAUGGCGAAGGCAGCCCCCUGGGAUAACACUGACGCUCAUGCACGAAAGCGUGGGGAGCAAACAGGAUUAGAUACCCUGGUAGUCCACGCCCUAAACGAUGCUGACUAGUUGUUCGGGAAUUUAUUCCUGAGUAACGUAGCUAACGCGUGAAGUCAGCCGCCUGGGGAGUACGGUCGCAAGAUUAAAACUCAAAGGAAUUGACGGGGACCCGCACAAGCGGUGGAUGAUGUGGAUUAAUUCGAUGCAACGCGAACAACCUUAUCUACCCUUGACAUGCACUAACGAAGUAGAGA